rnacentral:rRNA from 1 species
CAGUCGCCGCGGGAAUACGUAGGGUGCAAGCGUUAAUCGGAAUUACUGGGCGUAAAGCGUGGGCAGGCGGUUAUAUAAGACAGAUGUGAAAUCCCCGGGCUCAACCUGGGAACUGCAUUUGUGACUGUAUAGCUAGAGUACGGCAGAGGGGGAUGGAAUUCCGCGUGUAGCAGUGAAAUGCGUAGAUAUGCGGAGGAACACCGAUGGCGAAGGCAAUCCCCUGGGCCUGUACUGACGCUCAUGCACGAAAGCGUGGGGAGCAAACAGGAUUAGAUACCCAGGUAGUCCCUGUCUCUUAUAC